GACGUAGGGGGCUAGCGUUGUCCGGAAUCAUUGGGCGUAAAGAGCGUGUAGGCGGCCCGGUAAGUCCGUUGUGAAAGUCGAAGGCUCAACCGUCGAAUGCCGAUGGAUACUGCCGGGCUAGAGUCCGGAAGAGGCGAGUGGAAUUCCUGGUGUAGCGGUGGAAUGCGCAGAUAUCAGGAGGAACACCGAUAGCGAAGGCAGCUCGCUGGGACGGUACUGACGCUGAGACGCGAAAGCGUGGGGAGCAAACAGG
rnacentral:rRNA from 1 species